UGCCCUUCAGUUCGGGAUAACCCAGGGAAACUUGGGCUAAUACCGGAUACGUGCGAGAGCAGAAAGAUUUAUCGCUGAAGGAUCGGCCCGCGUCUGAUUAGCUAGUUGGUAGGGUAAUGGCCUACCAAGGCGACGAUCAGUAGCUGGUCUGAGAGGAUGAUCAGCCACGUUGGGACUGAGACACGGCCCAAACUCCUACGGGAGGCAGCAGUGGGGAAUAUUGGACAAUGGGCGCAAGCCUGAUCCAGCCAUGCCGCGUGAGUGAUGAAGGCCUUAGGGUUGUAAAGCUCUUUCGUCCGGGACGAUAAUGACGGUACCGGAAGAAGAAGCCCCGGCUAACUUCGUGCCAGCAGCCGCGGUAAUACGAAGGGGGCUAGCGUUGUUCGGAAUCACUGGGCGUAAAGGGCGCGUAGGCGGCUUU
rnacentral:rRNA from 1 species